UAGGGAAUCUUCCGCAAUGGACGAAAGUCUGACGGAGCAACGCCGCGUGAGUGAUGAAGGUUUUCGGAUCGUAAAGCUCUGUUGUUAGGGAAGAACAAGUGCGAGAGUAACUGCUCGCACCUUGACGGUACCUAACCAGAAAGCCACGGCUAACUACGUGCCAGCAGCCGCGGUAAUACGUAGGUGGCAAGCGUUGUCCGGAAUUAUUGGGCGUAAAGGGCUCGCAGGCGGUUUCUUAAGUCUGAUGUGAAAGCCCCCGGCUCAACCGGGGAGGGUCAUUGGAAACUGGGAAACUUGAGUGCAGAAGAGGAGAGUGGAAUUCCACGUGUAGCGGUGAAAUGCGUAGAGAUGUGGAGGAACACCAGUGGCGAAGGCGACUCUCUGGUCUGUAACUGACGCUGAGGAGCGAAAGCGUGGGGAGCGAACAGGAUUAGAUACCCUGGUAGUCCACGCCGUAAACGAUGAGUGCUAAGUGUUAGGGGGUUUCCGCCCCUUAGUGCUGCAGCUAACGCAUUAAGCACUCCGCCUGGGGAGUACGGUCGCAAGACUGAAAC
rnacentral:rRNA from 1 species